rnacentral:lncRNA from 1 species
AAAGCUUUAAAGAGUCCGCUAAAAUGAAAUAUUCCUUUUAAACUUUGAAAACGCUAACUUUACUAUUUUCCUUUACAAUUUAACCUUUAAAUAAAUGAAGUUUCUAAGAAAAAUUAACCAUUUUGACUAAAAUAAAUAACGAGCAAAUAAAAAUACCAACUGUAAGAACCAAAAGUUUAAGCAGAACUGACGACCAAGCGUCGAAAUUACGUCAAUGUUGGAUUGUUGGAUUGUUGGAUGGUUGGAUGGUUGGAUUGUUGGAUCGCGCGCUUGCCGUCCAACCAAAUAUUUGAAUUCUUAAAUAAAUUACAAAAAUCACAAUAAUAUACAAUUUAAGUAACCUUUAUAUAAUAAACAAAGUUUGCAUGGUACUAAACAAAUUUCUAUAGUAACUAAAAAUACAACAAUAUAUACAGCGCCACCGGAAGUCACAAUACGUAAACAACAUUGCAAAAGUUAUGUGUGUCACCGGCGGACCAAAAUGAUAAAUAUCAAGGAAAGUGAGCAUUAACAUCUACAAAACAUUGAAGACGUUGACUACAAAUACUAAAAGGAAUUACAAGAAGUAUGUGAAAACAGUUGCCAACACGUAAAAAUAGUGUUUUUAUUGAACAAUCGUCCCAAGUGACACAUGGAUUCUACUGCGCAUGUCAAUACAUUUCAUUCAUAAAAUUCAAGCACAGGUGCGUGGAAUUUACUACGAUUUACUACAGUUUCUACAAUUGGAUCUUCACAAAAAUACAAGACAUACAGUUGGAUUAUUCAGUGGAUUAUUACUAUGAACUGGUAAAUUAUUACAUGAACUUCAACUGGUUUAUCAAAUAUAUGCAAAUGACAGUAAUUCAAUAUUUCUACAAGAAUCAUAAUAUUG